UUUUUUUUCCUGCUGCCGCCUAUACUGCCUCUCUCCCAUAGGAAGAACACUACCUCUGGGUAGCCAGGAGCUGAGAUGCAGUCUGAAUGUUCACGGUGGCUUCUGACGUGGCAGCGUGAAUUCUCAGCUGGGCAGGACAGCUGUCGGCUAGCAGGGACACAAACAGCCAUCAAGUGGAGAGUCGUUGGGACUUUGGUCUGUGUGCAGGUGGAGCCUGGAAGACUGACAGUCUAAUUUCGGUCAUCUAAUGACUUCUUAUUUUCCUAACUAAUUGUGCUUGCUAAGCACACAAUGGUCUGGAUUAGUCUUGGAGCCUUCAUCAAGUUGGGCUGCAAAUCAGGAUGCCAGCAAGCCUGCAAUAGCCUUGGCUCGCCUAAGAGAGAUCAUUGUGGAUGUGGCUUUUAAUGAUUUGCGGGAGAAAAAGAAAAAGAAAAAGAAAAAUGACAGCCUGUGGAGACGCCGAUUGGAGAAAGCAGCACACUGUGGUUAUUGCCAAUUUGAAAUACUGGGUUUGUGAAGCCAAGCCCUAAGGGAGUAGCCGGGUAACUGAGAAAGAGAUCGUAGAUAAAGAAAUAAAAAUGACAAGCGUAAUGGAGGCUGUGCGAAGGGACUGUCAGAGCAUCCGUUCAUGGAUGGCAAUCUUGCCAGGCAGAGAUUGAAUAAUUCAUAGAUGGAAACUACCCUGCCUUCACCUUCCCAUUUAAACCGGGCAUGAGCUGAAUCUCUAAUAAAUUUUCAAGAUAAAGUAAAAUCACAUGCACGUGUUGUGUUGUGUUUCCUCCAUAAGAAAUUCUUUUCCUGGAUUUGUGAUCCCUGUGGAACAUUAAGAACCUCUCCGAUUGAAUCUCAGGGGGAGGAACCGGAGGUAUGAAUGACAACUGUUUGAGAAGAAGGUCCCAAAUCCCUCUCUUAAAACCUUGGGAUUGUGCUUGAGACUCAGCCCCGAUGUGUUCCGUGGUGAGUCACUCACCUGGUUUACCCACACUGUAUGCUCCCCCUACCUGCCCCUACCUUGUCAUAAGGGCUGAGGAUUGAACCCAUGGCCUCGUUGCAUGUCAGGGCUCCAGUGCAGAUUUAGAUCCACCUUCUGGAUGCUUUGGUCCCUGGAACAAGGCAGCAGGCUCUUGCUAUCAAGAACCUGUCCCUGAGAAGGAACAUUCCUGGUGCCCCACGAGCCUGUGGACUCUUCUGGAACAUGGAACCCAACAUCAAGCCUCCUGACUUACCUUACUCUGUUCCCUUACCAUAGGUGCUGGGAACAUUAAAUCUUCAUGUCUGGAGGACAAGAAAACUAAAAGUACUCAUUGUUCAGUAGCCACUGAGGCUGAUGGGAGGCGGGACUGUGGAUUCACGUGGCUGACGAUGACUGGUCUUCCUGGCCAUAUUACUUUCUCUUUCUUUUAUCAAGUACAGACAUGGCGCCUGCCUGGAGUGGUGGUAUGAGUGCCCAAUCUCAACGAAACAACCAAGGCCACCUGUUCCCAUUUUUUUUUAUUGCUGUUGUUACAUGUGUAUAUGUGACAUAUGUGCAUGUAUGUUCAUGUGUUUGUGGGUACACAUUGUAUGCCGGUGUGUGUGGAUAUGUCUCUACGUGGCCAUUGAAGAAAUUAAAACAGGAAGACUCGAUUUGAAGGCAGCAAUGUGCCCAGUGUUCAUUUUCCCAAUGUUGACGGUUGUGCUGUGGUUUUACUGAAGAAUGCCCCUUGAAGGUGCAAUGGUGUCAGCGUUUGGAAGCUGAUCAUGGGAUGGAUCUCUGGAUAUGGCAAUCACUAGAUGGUGACCUCCCGAGCACAAAAGGCAACUGAGGGCGGCACAUUCAAAUAAUAGCAGUGUGCACAGGUGAAGUAACAAUCUCUUGCUGGGGUGCAGGCUACAAAGUGUUGGGGGAUCUCAUUCUAUGUUAAAGCCAGCCUCCAGCCUCCAGAAGAAGGAUGAAUCUGGCCAUUGCCUUCAUGGUUCGCCCAUCUCUGCUUGUGAGUACAAAUGGCAGAACUGCUGACCUGCUAUCACGUGAAGUCACUCUCCCGCGUCCCUUGUAGAAUUAGAAGCCCAUUUUGAAGGACUCUAGAGUCAGGAAGUCUGGAUGGAACUUAAAGCCUAAUAAUGAUCUAGACCCAGACGGUGCUGAUCCACCUAUUGGAGACAACAUUGUUAGAACCUCUUGGACAGCUGUACGUGAUUUCUCAGAUAUACUGCCCUGAGAUAACUCUCAAUGGCUAUGCAGCCAACCCAAUCUUUCAGUUCUAAAAGGGGACAAAGAGCUCAUUGGAUCACAAGGGAUGCUGUGUAACCAACCAGCCACCUCGUGCUUCUGCCACUGUUGCUUCCCCACUGUGAUAGACUGUGCACACUCAAACUGCAAGCCAAAAUAAACCCCACCCUCCUUAGUUGCUUUUCCCAGGAAUUUUGUCACAGCAGUGCUAACAUAAGCCAAGCUUGGGGUUAGGGUCAUUAACCCUAAGAGGGAAAAAAAUGUCUGUUCAAAGAAAGAGUUAUAAACAAAUAAUAGACAUUAAUAGAGUGGCUUUAAGGUAAUUUGUGUCUGUAAAGAAUAAUUCUUUCCUAAAUCUCUGCCUUAGCUUCCCUGUAUACUACCUGUAUAUGCAUGAGUACUCAGAGUUCGUUUUGAUUGGGCAAUCCUUUACAGAAAGAGAUUAUGAAUUCAGUUUGAU
rnacentral:lncRNA from 1 species